GUGGAGGGGCAGGGAGCAGAGGACAACAAAUUGGAGUGGUGAGAUACAAAACAAAAACACUUCAAUCUAGCAGGUUUUGUAACUAGGAUUUCUAUAUACAAUAUAAGGCAGCAAGAAUAUCAUUCUUCAAAGGAACUGUUAACAACAGCGAUGCCUGGGGACAAACACACAUAUUCCUUUAAAUAAUUUCUACCUCGUGAUUUAGGACUAUAUUUUUAUAACAUAACCUUUCAGUUGAACACAUUUAUUUCCAAACAUUCCAGCAGAAUUAAUUUUUCCCAUCCAACGGGAAGAUCUGUUGGUCUUAAGAGGG
rnacentral:lncRNA from 1 species